rnacentral:lncRNA from 1 species
AGGGAUAAUUAAUUCAGAAUCUUAACUUUAAUUUCUGAGGAAUGUGGGGUGAAGUAGCUCUUCACAAUGGAAAACCAAGAAAGAUGACUAUAUUUGUUUUUACCUUGUGAUAACACUAUGUUCCAAGUUUAUAUUCUAGUCUGUAUCCAAUACUUCUCUUUCUGACCCACAGGGAGAAGAACAGUGGUAUUUCAGGGAAACCAGGAAAUGCCCUCUUAGAAUGUCCCCAGCACUCAGGUCUUCAUAGUGCCUACAGAAUGAUAGAAACAGUUUUGGGGCCAGAGUCCUGAGGGCAUACAAAGUUGACUGGGCUUCAUUCCAGAGAUAAAAAGGACUAUUUGAAAGAUGAAAGGAUUAGAAGUCAAUGAGUUUCCUUUCAUCAUGAAGAGAAAGGAGCCCAAAGUUUCCCAAGAAGAACCCAGCCAAUUCUGCACUGCUGCAGAACACAGGAUGCGGAGCAAUCUUGGCAGAAAAUCUCAAGAGGAAAGGAAGUGUCUUGAGGUUAAGCUCUUGUCUGCUUCCUAAUGUUAGCAGAUGCCUAUCUUGUGCCAGUCUCAGCAGAAGACAAUGGGAUACUGCAGACAAUCCAGUGUCUGCAAUCUGACUGUCAGAUGGAGACAGGAAUGGAACAAUAGAGUUUUUCAAAGAGGUAAGAAAGUGUGCUAUAGUCAUGCAAGAGGAAGGGACUGACCUAGCCUGAGGCAAGUUGUGUAGUGUUUGCUGAUCUUGGGAGAAGUGGCAAGUGGUCUUCUUUCCAAGGGAACCCCCUUGAGAUGGAACACAGCCAGAAAGAUAAGUAUAUAUUAUCUUCCCUCGAGCUGGUAAUUAAUAACAGAUUACCAACACAGAGCAUUUCAGAAAGGCUCCCUUAACAUGUGCCCUGCACGUACAGCAUCCCCACUUGUGACACGCAUGUUUCCUUGCUGUCACCAUCAUCAUCUCUUUUUUGAGAUGAGCUUUGGUUUCUUUCUGUUAUGCCUGUUGCAGCAUGUAUCAGCGGUUCAUUUUAUUUUUAUUACCAAGUCAUAUUUCAUUGUACAGUCAUACAAGAGACAAUUCAUUUGGUGACCUGUGGAUAGGAAUUUGGGUGACUUUCCGCAAUCAUGAUGUAUCUAAAAUUAUUUGUAUAGAGAUAUUUGGACGUCUAUGCAUCCAUAAACCACAUGCAUCUUGCUUGCUCAAAUAUUUAGGAGCUACUGAUGACAGCUGUGCGUUUAACUUUAUAGGGACUGGAUAUUUAUAUACAGCCCUUCUACUGUAGCAUUUUACAUUUAUAUAUUGACAACUUCUGAAUUUUAACCUUUUAGUAAUUCCAGUUUGCCCAGUAUGUUAGGAAAUUCAAGAAAUUAGCAU